ACUGACCUGUCCUGGCACAUGUCUGUAAUCUCACCCACUGGGGAAGCUGAGGCUGAGCUGUCUCUGGAGUCGCAGAGUUCUGAGCCGCAAUGGACUGUGCUGAUUGGUUGGCCAUACUGAGUUUAGUAUCAAUCUAUUGACCCACAGGUUUCAGAGCCACUCAUCUGCCAAAGGAGAGGUGAAUCAGCCCAGGUCAGAAAUGGACCAGACCAAAGCUUCCAAGAUAAAGAGCAGUGGGGUCUAACCUAUGAAUGGUCUCUGCACUUCUGUCCUAGGCAAAAUAAGGAGACCAAAUCUUUU
rnacentral:SRP_RNA from 1 species